ACUACACUUCACUACAUUCCUUGUAUAAGUUUGAGAAUAGGGCUCAAACGUAUCUACUAAGCUACCGUAAAUAGCUUGGCUACAAGGGAUAUUGUUUAUUAU
rnacentral:ncRNA from 2 species